rnacentral:rRNA from 1 species
CUCGUAGGCGGCUGGUUGCGUCUGCUGUGAAAUCCCGGGGCUUAACCCCGGGCGUGCAGUGGAUACGGGCCGGCUGGAGGCAGGCAGGGGAGAAUGGAAUUCCCGGUGUAGCGGUGAAAUGCGCAGAUAUCGGGAGGAACACCGGUGGCGAAGGCGGUUCUCUGGGCCUGUACUGACGCUGAGGAGCGAAAGCGUGGGGAGCGAACAGGAUUAGAUACCCUGGUAGUCCACGCCGUAAACGUUGGGCGCUAGGUGUGGGUCCCUUCCACGGGGUCUGUGCCGCAGCUAACGCAUUAAGCGCCCCGCCUGGGGAGUACGGCCGCAAGGCUAAA